GAAAAUUUUUCUGUAGAUAUAGUUAAUUUGGAGAAUUGUUUGUUGCUCUGUUAAAUUUUUGUUAAAAAAUGCUAUAAAAAGUGUAAAAUAAUUAUUAAAACCUAACGAAAUGGCUACACAAAAACCAGGCGAAUGGGCCAAUUCAUUAUUGGCCCGUUUCGAAGAUCAGCUUCCUAACAAAACAACCGGACCCCAUGGCACCCAGGCUAGAAUGAGCCAAGACCAAUUGGUGGGAUGUCUUAUACAUAUUUCACGUUAUCGUUUUUCGCUUGUAAUAUCCGGUCUUACAAAAAUGCUACAACGAGUCAAUGAAGCCGCUAUUCAAAAUCGUCACGAAACGGAUCGUUGUUAUUUUGAAUCUUUGAUCAUUAUUUUAACCACCCUCGAACGUUGUCUAACCAAUCAGACCAAGGAUACGGCUCGUUUUGAAGAAGCCAUGAAUGUUAAACUAUUACUACGUGAAAUUACCCAAUUUAUUGAUGUCCAAAGUGAUAAUAAUCCUCAUGCCGCCCAAUUGAAAAUUUUAGCUUCAAAAGUUCUAUUUGCUCUAUCACAAAAUCAUUUUUCCGCCGUUUUUAAUCGUAUAUCGGCUAGAAUACAAGAAUUGGCCGCUUGUUCAGAUGAGAAUCCCGAUUAUUCGGAUAUUGAAUUGAUACAACAUAUUGAUAUGGAUAUGAUCAAGUUGACAAAAUUAUUACAGGAAACUAUAACGAAAUUUCGCUCGAAAAAAGCUCCACCUUUAAUUCUAUUGAAUUCAAUUGAAAAAGCCAUAUGGAAUUGGAUAGAAUAUCAUCCGCAAGAAUUUCAGGAUUUGCAAAGAGGCAUGAAUCGUGACAUAUCAACCUGCUGGGAGCCUUUACUGGAUUUUGUGGAGGCUUAUAAAGCUGAAAAUAAAAAGAGUAAAACUACAGUGUGGCCUUUGCAAAUGUUGCUGCUGAUUUUAAAUCCAGCAUGCUUGGAAGCCACCGUCAAUGAACUGCAGCAGGGCGAGAAGGAAAAAGAUAAAGCUACUUCAAAAGCUCAAACACGUGACAAGGAUUUUUCGGCCAAACAAUUUAUAGAGAGUGUUAAAAGAGGCCUAGGGCCACAUUCACCUUCUAAACUUGUUACCGAAUCGGCCGCCAUAGCCUGUGUGAAGUUAUGCAAGGCAGCUACUUACGUGAAUAUCAACGACUCCAAUAAUGUGAUUUUUAAAUUGGUCCAAUACAUAAUCAACGAUAUCAAAGCUUUACUAUUUAAUCCGGUGAAACCGUUUUCCCGUGGUCAAGGUUACAACUUUGCCGAUAUAGAACUAAUGAUUGACUGUUGGGUAUCAUGUUUUCGCAUAAAUCCCCACAAUAUAGAGGCUUUAAAGGUGUGUUUGAAUCUUAAUUCACCGCAAGCCUACCAUUUUGUUAUAGUGUGUUCUUUAUUAAGGCUGGCCCAUAUUUAUGUAGAUUUUCGUUUGCAAAGUAAAAAUCCUUUUCGUAUAGUAAAUCAGCCUCGUUUGCCCUGGUGGCCUCAAACCGAUGUUGUACACUAUCGUUCGGCGGAAUUGCGAGCCUUAUUUACGGAUACUUUAAAUAAAGCCACACAGGGUUAUAUCGCCCAUACCCCCUUAAGAAUGAUUACCUCGCUGACACUAAAAACCAAGGAUACACAAAAAGGUUUAGCUAGAUCCGAAGAAGGUCCUGCACAUAAAAUGUUACUUUUGCUAUUAGUACGUUUAAUACAUGCAGAUCCCACUUUAUUGCUUAAUACCCAAGGAAAAGUUGCCCAUGAGGUACAAAGUUCCACAUUAGAGUUAAUUAAUGGUCUAGUUAGUUUGGUGCAUCAACCGUCCAUGCCGGAUGUGGCCCAAGAGGCAAUGGAGGCCCUAUUGGCUUUACACGCUCCCGAAAAAAUAGAAGUUUGGAAUCCAGAGGCCCCUAUCAACACAUUUUGGGAUGUUAGUUCUCAGGUUUUGUUUUCGAUAUCACAAAAAUUAAUCCAACAUCAAAUAGCCAAUUAUACGGAUGUUUUAAAAUGGCUGAGGGAGAUUUUGAUAUGUCGCAAUACUUUUCUGCAGCGUCAUAAGGACUACGCUCAUAUGGGCAGUCAUAUAGCUAUUUGUAAACAGGCUCACAUUAAAUUGGAAGUUGUAUUCUUUAUGUAUUUAUGGUCUGUGGAUUUGGAUGCUGUUCUGACUUCAUUAUCAUGUUUUGGUUUACUGUGUGAAGAGGCGGAGAUUUGUUGUGGCUCGGAUGAGUUAACGGUAUCGAUGUUGGUGCCUAAUUAUAUCAUCUAUCAGGAAUUGGCACAAUUAUCAUCGGCUGCCACUGAUUCUCGUAUUUGUUUCUAUGAUACCAGUCAUGGUAAUGUUUGGAAUCGUUUGCAUUUACAAAAGCGUAUCAUGCAACUUCUACGCAAAAUCGAGCAUUGUAUAGAUGGUGUUCAACCCGCCUGGGAAGAAACAUUCAGGAAUUGGGAAAUAAUGAGUAAAAUGUUGCAAACUUAUCCCAAAUGCAAAACCGAAGAUGGUCAAGCUGAAUUAUUUCACCGCGGCAUAGGCAAGCGAAGAGCAAGUCAUCAAUCAUCGGAACAUGAUAUUGAAGAACAAAUUACGGAAUGGGCCAAUAUGACAUGGUUUCUAUUGGCUUUGGGUGGUGUUUGUUUGAUUAAAAGACGCCAGCAAAUAGUAGUAGCCGCUCAGGCUACUGCACACACCACUCACAGUCUAUCGAAUCAUGGACCAUUUCAUCAAUAUUCUCAAAGUUUUGGCUCAUUUCAACAGCCCUUACCGGCCGCCCAUAUACAUCCUAUAAAUCAGGGUUCCAUUAGUUCAUUGGCACAAAACUCGUUACAUUCACUAUCGAGUUCUUCCAGUUCGGGUAGAGGUUCAUUAAAUCCAAAUUCGGUAUCAUUGACUGCUAUACCGCAGGGACCACAACAGGAGGUGCAAUAUUGUCCGGUGACACAAUUUAUUGGGCAACUUUUAAGAUUAUUGGUUUGCAGCAAUGAGAAAAUCGGUUUAAAUAUUCAAAAAAAUGUUAAAGAACUUGUUGGAGAAGAAAUGUCCACUUACUUAUAUCCCAUACUUUUCGAUCAAAUACGUGCUAUAGUUGAGAAAUUCUUUGAUCAACAUGGCCAAGUUAAUGUUACCGAUAUUAAUACACAGUUUAUUGAACACAUUAUCUAUAUAAUGAAAUCGAUUUUGGAUCCUAAACCCAAUAAAGACCCCAAUAAUGAACAACCCUCAACGGCGGAAAAUUUAGGAGUAACCAGCAUUGAAUGCAUGAUGUUGGGUAUAGUACGUUACGUUCGUCAUCUCGAUAUGACUUUCUAUGCUAUUCGUAUUAAAACAAAAUUAUGUCAACUGGUGGAGGUUAUGAUGAAACGUAGAGAUGAUUUGGCUUUUAGACAAGAAAUGAAAUUUCGCAAUAAAUUGGUGGAAUAUUUAUCGGAUUGGGUAAUGGGCACUUCACAUCAAAUAGCGCCACCCAGUUCAACAGAUCCUGCUUUGAUAACCAAUACUUCGGUUAUUUUUAGAGAUUUAGAUCAGGCUUGCAUGGAGGCUGUGGCAGCUUUACUAAGAGGUUUGCCCUUGCAACCUGAGGAAUCAGAUCGUGGUGAUUUAAUGGAUGCCAAAAGUGCUCUGUUUCUUAAAUAUUUUACUUUGUUUAUGAAUCUCUUAAACGAUUGCAUAGAUAGUUCGGAGGCUGAAAAGGAACUGAACAAUCCUCCUCUUUUGCCUCCUCGACCACGUUUAGCUGCCGGCAAAUUAACCGCUUUACGCAAUGCCACCAUUCAAGCCAUGUCUAACCUAUUGGGAGCCAAUAUUGAUUCAGGUCUUAUGCAUUCCAUUGACUUGGGCUACAAUCCCGAUUUACAAACUCGUGCCGCUUUUAUGGAAGUUUUAACACAAAUUCUGCAACAAGGCACAGAAUUUGAUACUUUAGCUGAAACAGUUUUGGCUGAUCGUUUUGAGCAGUUGGUACAGCUAGUUACCAUGAUCAGUGAUAAGGGAGAAUUACCCAUAGCUAUGGCUUUGGCUAAUGUAGUGACCACUUCCCAAAUGGAUGAAUUGGCCCGUGUUUUAGUCACCUUAUUCGAUGCCAAACAUUUAUUGUCUCCUUUAUUGUGGAAUAUGUUCUAUCGCGAGGUGGAGGUAUCCGAUUGUAUGCAGACUCUAUUUCGGGGCAAUUCAUUGGGCAGUAAAAUCAUGGCUUUUUGUUUUAAAAUCUAUGGUUCAGCUUAUUUGCAGCUACUGCUGGAACCCUUGAUAAGACCUUUAUUGGAUAAUCCUAAUACCUGUUUUGAAGUUGAUCCCGCCAGACUAGAUCCUGGGGAUGAAUUAGAUGUUAAUCGCUGUAAUCUGAUAGCUUUAACAAAAAAGGUUUUUGAUGCCAUUAUCAAUUCGGCAGAUCGUUUUCCCCCUCAAUUGCGUUCCAUGUGUCAUUGUUUGUAUCAGGUGUUGAGUAAACGUUUUCCCAAUUUAUUGCAGAAUAAUAUAGGAGCAGUGGGCACGGUAAUAUUUUUAAGAUUUAUUAACCCAGCCAUAGUCUCUCCCCAGGAAUUGGGCAUUGUGGGCAAACAAGUACCUAGUUCGGUUAAGCGUGGCUUGAUGUUAAUGUCUAAAAUUUUACAAAACAUUGCAAAUCAUGUAGAGUUUUCCAAGGAACAGCAUAUGUUGUGUUUCAAUGAUUUCCUAAGGGAACAUUUUGAGGCGGGCCGACGUUUCUUUAUACAAAUAGCUUCAGAUUGUGAAACGGUAGAUCAAACCUCGCAUAGCAUGAGUUUUAUUUCGGAUGCCAAUGUUUUGGCUUUGCAUCGUUUGUUGUGGACUCAUCAGGAAAAGAUAGGCGACUAUUUGUCCAGUAGUCGGGAUCACAAGGCAGUCGGUAGAAGACCUUUUGAUAAAAUGGCCACAUUAUUGGCUUAUUUGGGACCACCCGAGCACAAACCAGUGGAUUCUCACAUGAUGUUUUCUUCUUAUCCACGCUGGAGUUCCAUUGAUAUGUCUUCAACCAACUUUGAAGAAAUCAUGGUUAAACAUCAAAUGCACGAAAAGGAAGAGUUUAAGGCACUGAAAGCUAUGAAUAUUUUCUAUCAAGCCGGCACUAGCAAAUCAGGACAUCCAGUGUUUUAUUAUAUUGCCAGACGUUAUAAAAUUGGUGAAACAAAUGGUGAUCUUUUGAUCUAUCAUGUUAUUUUAACUCUAAAACCUUUUUGUCACUCCACCUUUGAGGUUGUCAUAGAUUUUACUCAUGUCAACUCGGACAAUAGAUUCCGCACAGAGUUCCUACAGAAAUGGUUUUAUGUAUUACCCGCUGUGGCCUAUGAAAAUGUACAUGCUGUUUAUAUUUACAAUUGCAACUCUUGGGUUAGGGAAUAUACCAAAUUUCAUGAUCGCAUUUUGGCGCCUCUAAAGGGCAAUCGUAAAUUAAUGUUUUUGGAUUCACCCAAUAAACUCAACGACUACAUCGAAUCGGAUCAACAGAAACUACCAGGCGCAACUCUUUCUUUAGAUGAGGAUUUAAAAGUGUUUAGCAAUGCUUUAAAACUAAGCCACAAGGAUACCAAAGUAGCCAUUAAAGUGGGUCCUACAGCUUUACAGAUCACCUCUGCGGAAAAAACUAAGGUCUUGGCCCAUUCCGUAUUACUAAACGAUGUGUACUAUGCCUCCGAAAUAGAGGAAGUGUGUUUGGUAGAUGAUAACCAAUUUACUCUAUCCAUAGCAAAUGAAAGUGGUCAAUUAAGUUUCAUACACAACGAUUGCGAUAAUAUUGUCCAAGCUAUUAUACAUAUCCGAAAUCGCUGGGAGUUAAGUCAACCAGACUCGGUGACAGUUCAUCAGAAAAUUAGACCCAAGGAUGUGCCGGGCACUUUACUAAACCAAGCUUUGCUAAAUUUGGGUUCUGCAGAUCCCAAUUUGCGUACCGCUGCCUAUAAUCUUCUCUGCGCUUUAACCGCCACAUUUGAUUUGAAAAUCGAGGGCCAGUUGCUGGAGACUCAGGGUUUGUGUAUACCCUCUAAUAACACUAUUUUCAUUAAAUCGGUUAGCGAAAAAUUAGCCACCAAUGAGCCUCAUUUGACCUUGGAAUUUCUUGAGGAAUGUAUACAGGGCUUCCAACGCAGUACCAUCGAAUUGAAACAUUUGUGCUUGGAGUACAUGACUCCUUGGCUUAAGAAUCUGGUGAAAUUCUGUAAAUCCAAUGAUGAUGCCAAAAAAUUGAAAGUAUCUCAGAUACUGGAUAAACUCAUAUGUCUAACCAUCGAACAAAAAGAAAUGUAUCCCUCCGUUCAGGCUAAGAUUUGGGGUUCCGUGGGUCAAAUACCGGAACUUAUUGAUAUGGUAUUGGACAAUUUCCUACAUAAGUCCUUAAUAUACGGCUUGGGUUCACCGCAAGUGGAAAUAAUGGCCGAUACAGCAGUGGCUUUGGCUUCGGCCAAUGUCCAGUUGGUAUCGAAAAAAGUUAUAACGCGCAUGUGCCGUGUUAUGGACAAGACCUGUACCAAUCCUACUCCCUUCCUAGAGCAACAUGUCAUGUGGGAUGAUAUAGCCAUCUUGGGUCGCUAUUUACUUAUGUUGUCCUUUAACAAUUGUCUAGAUGUGGCCACCCAUUUGCCGUAUCUCUUCCAUACCAUUACGUUUCUGGUUUGCUCGGGUUCUUUGUCCAUGCGUGCCUCAACUCAUGGUCUAGUCAUUAAUAUCAUACACUCUCUAUGUACCUGCACCAAACCCAUCUUCUCCGAAGAAGCUCAAAGAGUGUUGCGUUUGUCUUUGGAUGAAUUCUCUCUGCCCAAAUUUUACUUACUCUUUGGCAUUAGCAAAGUUAAAUCGGCUGCCGUUACUGCUUUCCGUUCCAGUUGUCGCCAUCCCCCCGAUAAGUGGUUGGGCAACGAAAGGGUAUCACAAACAUUGCCCGCCGAUAGAGAACGUUUAUCUUUGCCCUCCUUGGAAGUUAUAACCGAUGCUCUGCUGGAAAUAAUGGAAUCUUGUAUGCGUGAUGUACCCGAUUGUCAGUGGUUGCAAACGUGGAAUUCAUUGGCCCGUAGCUUUGCAUUCUGUUAUAAUCCUGCUUUACAGCCGAGAGCUUUGAUAGUGUUUGGCUGCAUUAGCAAGAGUGUUACGGAUCAGGAAGUCAAGCAGUUGUUAAGGAUAUUGGUGAAGGCGGUGGAAUCCUUUAAUGAUAUCACUCUCAUAGAGGCAAUUGUCAUGUGUUUGACACGCAUACAGCCGCUGUUAAGACCGGAAUCUCCCAUACAUCGCAAUCUCUUUUGGGUGGCCAUUUCUGUUUUACAAUUGGAUGAGGGCAACUUAUAUGGAGCUGGUUUGGCAUUACUAGAACAAAAUUUACAUACCCUUAAAUCCCAGGGUUGCUUUGACAAUGCCAACAUUGCCGAGGUCAUGAUGUGCACUCGUGAGAAACUAGAAUGGCAUUUUAAACAACUAGAUCAUGCGGUGGGUCUCUCAUUUCGUAGUAAUUUCCAUUUUGCUCUGGUGGGACAUUUAAUAAAGGGAUUUAGACAUUCUACACCAACCACCGUAUCACGUACUUCCCGUAUAUUGACCAUGCUAUUGGGCAUUAUAGCUAAACCUUUAAGACGAGAUAAAUUUGAAGUAACACCCGAUAGUGUAGCCUAUUUGACCGCCCUGGUGGCCGUCUCAGAAGAAGUACGAUCACGUUGUCAUGUCAAACAUGCCUUACCUAGAUGGCCAGUUGAAUUGAAUACCACCUUAGAGAAUGGCGAGACAGCAGCUAAUGGCACACAUAAUCAAUUUGGCAUGGCUUUAUCACGUCGUCAAAAGUCUUGGGAUAUUUUAGAUCAAUCCGCUUUAAAUUUCGCGCGUCAUCAUAAAGUACCUGUACAACCGAAUGCCCGAGUUUUAUUUAAAACUCAGCGCUCCUUUUCGGUACCCACCACCAAAGAUCCGAAUAACGCUAGUGGAAUCGAAGAACGUCAGGAACGCGGCUCACGUACCUCUGUAUCCAAUGAAUCGAAUGUUCUAUUGGAUCCUGAAGUUUUACCUGAUUUGUCAAUACAGGCUUUGGUUUUAACCGUAUUGGCAACAUUAGUUAAAUAUACCUCCGAUGAAAAUGAAACACGUGUAUUAUAUCAAUAUUUAGCCGAAGGAUCUGUGGUAUUUCCCAAGGUCUUUCCAGUAAUACACUCAUUAUUGGAUCAAAAAAUCAACAAUAUACUAUCCGUGUCUCAUGAUCAAGUUGUCUUGAACUCAGUACAAAAUAUUAUCCAAAAUAUGUUGGCCAGUGAAGAUCCCUCACAGCAGCAAUUGCAUUUUCUACAAAGUUGUGGUUUUGGUGGUUUGUGGCGUUUUGCCGGACCUUUUACCAAAUACAAUGUUAUGGGUGAAUCUUCGGAAUUAUUUGUUAACUGUUUGGAGGCUAUGGUAGAAACUUGUCUACCUGGCGAUGAACAACAGGCACCCAUUGUUCCUUUGGUGCGUCCCUAUAAUUUAAGCUCCAGCUUGAGCAGUUUGACGCUAGGUUCUCCCACGGAUAAAGCUUUCUCAUCGGAAUCAUUAGAUCAUGAAUUCGGCGGCAGUGUAAGCUCUCUCCGUCGUGCAUCACACAGUAAAGCACGCGCCAAGCACCGUCUCACCGAAAGUCCAUCACAUAACAAUUAACAAUGAGUCCAGCAAUUAGACUUCGACAUAAUUAUUUAUUAACCAAACAGAAAAUAUUAAACAAAAACUGCAUGAAUAACAACCAACAAUCCACGCACUAGACGUACCAUAUUUUCUAAUUUUUUAAGAUUUUUUAAUUUAUUCAAAAAAUGUUUUUAACUUUUAUUAAAAAUAGAACAUUUUUUGUUAUUUAUGAAAAAAUUUGUUAUUUAUGAAAAUUUAAGUCUUAUGAAACAUAAAAACAACGAACAAUUUAAAUUAAAUAUGUCGAAAUGCGUUGGUUAAGGUUGGCAAAUGUUUUAAACAAAAAAACCUAAACAAAACCCCCCUCGUUAUGGAAUUGCGCUUGUGUGCUCUACUUACUACCUUUAAAGAUUUUGGAAAAUUUCUCGAGGAUUUAUUUGUUUUUUUUUAAUAAUAAUAUUAAACAUUUUUAGGUGGUAACUGUUUUUCCUAAUUAUUAAGCAUAUAAUUAAGAAAUUCUAUAAAAGGAGUCAAAAAUUUAAGAAUUAUAAGGCUACGUUCCUAAACAAUGACUAGGUUAUAUGUUAUAGCCACAGCAAAAUUUUUUGUUUUAUUUUUAUACUUGUCUUAGCAAAAAAAAUAGAUAGCUUCUAUUCCUUACAGUGAGUGUCAUAAAACUGCAGCCACUAACUUGGACCAAAAAAAAGUUUAAUAAAAAAGUAAAAGUUCAUUUAAGAUUUAAGCUUAAUAGUUAAACAUAUUGUUAAAUCAUUUAUAAGUAGUUAAUGAUAAAAAAAUCUUCCAAAUAUAAUUUUUAUUUUUAAUAAUAAUUUAUUCGGUUUUGAAUCUAAAUGUCUUGAGAAAUUAGUCAUAUUUGUAUUGUUUCAAUUAAAACUAAAUAGAUUUAAUACUUCUCUUAAUCGAUUAGUUAAAGAAAAUGUUUGGUUUCCGUUUUUUGUGACACUUACUGUAGUCCAUUUUGUUUUGAAUUUCAUAUUGAUUUAAAACAAAUUUAAAGUUCAGUGUGUUGUAUCCUUGACUACAGACUAUUCUAUAGCCUUGACUAUAGACUAUUCUA